UAGGGAAUCUUCGGCAAUGGGGGAAACCCUGACCGAGCAACGCCGCGUGAGUGAAGAAGGUUUUCGGAUCGUAAAGCUCUGUUGUUAAGGAAGAACGAGUGUGAGAAUGGAAAGUUCAUGCUGUGACGGUACUUAACCAGAAAGGGACGGCUAACUACGUGCCAGCAGCCGCGGUAAUACGUAGGUCCCGAGCGUUGUCCGGAUUUAUUGGGCGUAAAGCGAGCGCAGGCGGUUAGAAAAGUCUGAAGUGAAAGGCAGUGGCUCAACCAUUGUAGGCUUUGGAAACUGUUUAACUUGAGUGCAGAAGGGGGGGGUGGAAUUCCAUGUGUAGCGGUGAAAUGCGUAGAUAUAUGGAGGAACACCGGUGGCGAAAGCGGCUCUCUGGUCUGUAACUGACGCUGAGGCUCGAAAGCGUGGGGAGCGAACAGG
rnacentral:rRNA from 1 species